AUUGAACGCUGGCGGCAUGCUUUACACAUGCAAGUCGAACGGUAACAGGCCGCAAGGUGCUGACGAGUGGCGCACGGGUGAGUAGUGCAUCGGAACGUGCCCAGUCGUGGGGGAUAACUACUCGAAAGAGUAGCUAAUACCGCAUACGAUCUAUGGAUGAAAGCGGGGGACCGUAAGGCCUCGCGCGAUUUGAGCGGCCGAUGUCAGAUUAGGUAGUUGGUGGGGUAAAGGCUCACCAAGCCAACGAUCUGUAGCUGGUCUGAGAGGACGACCAGCCACACUGGGACUGAGACACGGCCCAGACUCCUACGGGAGGCAGCAGUGGGGAAUUUUGGACAAUGGGCGCAAGCCUGAUCCAGCAAUGCCGCGUGCAGGAAGAAGGCCUUCGGGUUGUAAACUGCUUUUGUACGGAACGAAACGGCUCUGGUUAAUACCCGGGGCUAAUGACGGUACCGUAAGAAUAAGCACCGGCUAACUACGUG
rnacentral:rRNA from 1 species